UCCUGGGCUCCAGGGCCUUAGGCAGACUGUUCAGAAGGACUUUUAAGGCAUCUAUGGGCAACGGGACUCCACUGAUUCCACGAGAGCUGGGGGCCUCUCCAGAAAGCCAGCCUGCUCAAAACUCAGAACUCCCUGCUUUGUGCUACAGGCUCCUCCUCACGUGUCAGCCAGUGACAACGCCGAGUGUUCACAACAGGCUGCAAAGCACAGACGCUGCAGGAGGGGCCUAUGGGUGAGGGAAGUGUAUGUGAUCUUCACUUUGGUGGGGCCUACACAGAAAACAAGCCGGGGGACAAAUUCUCCUGACUUGGACCCACCUUUCAGGGAAUGGCAGUUCCGUGCACGCCGCAAACCCUGAGGAACUGCGCUCUUCUGUUGAAACUCCUCCCUCAGCAAAGACGUCUGUGGACCCACCCGUACACAUGGGCAAAGGCCACUCCCUGCGUCUCUCUGCCCGAGGCUUUCCCUCGGGUCCGUACCCUGUGCGGCAAGCACACAGUUCCCGUGGGAAGCAAGAACCGGGCCCCACGCAGGGCAAGCGCAUGCGCGUGCCGCCGUGGCGGUGGGACUGGCCCUGUGAUGGGUUUAGUGUUUCGCUGUCACAGUCCUGAAAUUCUCAGUUGUUUUCAUCUCUGAACUAGCGCUUUGCAAGCGCAGUCUGUCGUAGGGACGCCGGAGUGCGCGCCAGCAGAGUGGAUACACGCAAUGUGUCCCCGUCUUCCUUUGUCGCCUCCUCAUUGCCUAGAACUUUCCCAGUCCCGAGAGCACAGAAUUUCUGGGAUCCAUGAUGCAAGGAGUUCAGAGAGACAGGGCAAGUGCACGGCUAGUGUGUCAUGUGUGCCACGGAGCAAAGGGGAUGUGGACACGCGGGAGGCCACGCUUUCCCGUCUGGACAGAACUUGCUUCCAACUCGGAAAGAAGAUAGGAGCAACCAAGGAGCCCUGUCACAGCCUUUCUUACUCGCAUGACUUCCCCGCAUUAGCCAAACCUCUUAUGCUGAAAACCAAGAUACAGGAGGGAAAGGGAGAGAUGCCGCGGCCACAGCACCUUUUCUCCUCCGUCCUUCCUCACCUAGGGGAGCAGGAGCCAUAGAGCCACUGGGAGACCGGGAUGUUGGAAUGGACGCCCAGAGAGAAAUGAAAUAAAAUCAGAGGAGUGAGUUUUGUGCAGCCAUUGCUCUGGCUAUAGGGAACUUAUGAGAAGAAGCCUUCACAUUGCUGCAUUCUCAGAGAAAGUUUUUUUCUAGAAGAGACAUCCCCAAAUAUGAAAGAGGACACCACCAAGACUCUGGGCCUUGCCUUCCCCACAGACUCUGGCAUGAGAGGGAAAGGACAGCCAGCACCAGCCACAGGGUGUGCUGGGGACCUCCCAGGAUCUACCCCUCAGCUCGGUCUCACCACUUUAAUGAGCAUAUGUCAGUUCCUACAUGCACCCCACACACAUGUGGGCCUGUCCUGGAGCUUUCAGAAGCUGGUACAUCUCUGUGACGUUUCCAUUCGAUUUUGGAACUAGGAACAUUCUCUGGUCCAUAUGCUCCGAGUGGCACAAAUCUGAAAGACACUGAGGGUAGGUGGCAUUAUGGGAGAAUUCUAGGAGUCCCUUAUUUUGGCCUAAGCUCCUGUGCUAGGCCCCGACAGGCCAGACUAGAAACCAAAAUGGAGUCACCCAAGCCAAAACUCCACAUCACUAUCCGAAACUAAGCUGUCAUCUGACCUUCUUAGAAAUUUCAAUCUUCCAGUUUCAAUCUUCCGUCAGGGUGAUAAUGAAGCCCCUUCCGCUUUAAUCCUUCACCUGAAGUCACCUAUGUUACCCCAUCAGUCAUCUUUCUCUUGUUGUCUCCUUGGCCCUGCCGUGCAAGGAAAGUUGCUUUACCCUGUCUGCUUUUUGUUCUUUGUUACUGCUCUCUGUAGCCCUUCUCUGUCUAUAAAGCCAAACUCUCCUGCUCAGCUCAUUGGAGAACCUAUUCUAUUUUAUGGAAUGAAGCGUUGCCUGAUUCUAGAAAUGUGAAUAAAGCUAGUUGAGAUCUUUAAAUUUGUUGUAAUUUUGUCUUUUGACAGAGGCUAGAACUUACCCCAUGGGUAGAUGCUUCCUUAGCAAGUAACUCCCUUUUUCUGUCUGAGCUACUGGACACUAACAGAGUUCAUCGUAAUAACUAGGAAUAAAAUGUUAAUGAAUUAAAUAAAAAUGCAUUGGCCCAGACCCUGUACUCCUUCUGAUUCUGAGGGUUGAGACAACUCCGAGUAAGUGUUCAACCUCAAGAUGAAAUGGUGAGGUUUACUUGGGGUAGGGGGAUGGGUCCAGUGAAGCUUUAACUUUUGCUUCAUGCAUUUUUUUCUACUGGCUCACUUUUUA